UAAAAAUAUUAAAUUGACCUUAAUCAGUUUUUAUCAACCUGCUAUUAACACUCACUUUUAGUAAGUUACUUGUACUUUGAGGUUGAAAAAUCUUACCAGCUCAGUCUACUUGAGCUGGAUUAAUUUAGAAAAAGUAAGUUUAUGACACUGUGGGCAUGCGCAGAUCAAUCAAUCAUCCCCAACCAAUCAAGCUGCUUCGUAAGGCGGGUCUUGGCGUGGCGGGAUUCGUAAUUUUGCAAACGGUAUGUCACCGCAACUGACCAACCAGAUGAAGCUGGAUAUCAUUGAGCUGGACCUAAACAUCGCUUCAACGGCACUUGUGAUUAUCGUCAGCAUAACAGCGAUUCUUGUGCUUGGCACAAUCAUUUGUUUCCUUCCAGGCACAAGCAGAUGGUGAUCAAUCCACACAUUCCAUAAUCCCAGCAAUAAAAGAUUUUCAAACAGUUAUCAAAAUGGACCAGAGGUUGUUACUGAGAGUCAUCAUCGCUGAAGAUGAUAUAACAUUGUCAUCACCCACCACAACAUUAGACACUGAGGGCAGCACAGCAGACACUGAGAUCCUGUCGCCUGUAGGAGCAUCACCAUCGCUAAGACAACAGUGGCCAGAAUUCUUUGACAUACCCAAUUAGCACAUAUCACAGAGAGACAGGUGUUUGCUGAGUUUAAUGGAAUCGCCAGUAAGAAUCUUGAGAGAGACUUCUUUGAGGCUCUGGACCAGGAUGCCCCACGGUUCAUUGAACUUUUCAAAACAAAAAAGGGAACUGUUGGCCAGAAACUCAGGGAGCUGAUGCAGCACAUGAGCUGGAUGACACCAAACGUCACAGCACUUCGCUGUGUUGUCCUCAAAGGCAUUCCCAUUUUACUCGGUGAUGACUCCAGUGAAUUCUACAAGACUUGCUCUGAUACAGAGAGAGACGAGGCCCUAGAAUGCAUCACUGUUGG